GAAGCGGAGCGCGUGGAAGGGGGAACUUGGAGCGACAGUCCGGGAGCGCCGCUGACGCGCCGACGCCCGCAGGGACGGUUUGGCGGGACGGAUGCGGCCCUUGGACGUCGUCGGGCUGGCGGAGCCGGAGGAGGUGGAGGUGCUGGAGCCCGAGGAGGACUUCGAGCAGUUUCUGCUGCCCGUCAUCCACGAGAUGCGCGAGGACAUCGCGGCGCUGACCCGGGAGCGCGGCCGGGCGCACCUGCGGAACCGGAGCAAGCUGUGGGAGAUGGACAAUAUGCUCGUCCAGAUCAAGACGCAGGUGGAGGCCUCGGAGGAGAGCGCCCUGAACCAUCUGCAGAAUCCCGACGACGGGGCCGAGGGCAGAGGGACCAGACGGGGCGAGAAGGCGGAGGAGAAGGCCAAGGAGAUCGCGAAGAUGGCAGAGAUGCUGGUGGAGCUGGUCCGGCGGAUAGAGAGAAGCGAGUCGUCGUGAAGGAGGGCGGGCGGUUACAGAAAUCUGAGACUCGGCUCCUUGAUGGCAACGACUCUGGUCUCCUGGCCGAAUUUGAACUGCAUUAGGCAGCGCCGGGGCGCGCGUUCUGCAGCAGACUGGAUUGUUUAAGAUGCUAGAGUGGCGACUGUUCCCAGGGACGCGGCCACCGUGCGCUACCCUUGCACGCCGCCUGCGUUGCGGGGUCACCUUCACUGAGCCGCGUCUGGUCCACGCACCGAGCCUCGGAUCCUCACGGCCCGGCGGGCGGCGGCACCAGCAAGGGCUCCAGGGGCAACCCCAGGCUGCGACUCCCCCACUCCCCCCCACGGCCCCAGGGGGUCUGCAAGAGCCCGCCCACCUGACUGCGGAGGCCCGGCCGCACCCCGUGCAGGGCUGAGACCCAGCGCCAGGGGGCGCGCCGACCCAGCCCUGCAGCCGCCGGACCCAGCGGGAACCGCGCAGGGGCGACCCCGCGGCCGCCCACGCUGGGCCCCUCAAGUUUGCAGCCACCGUUGCCCAGUGUCGCAGCUCCGGCUUCCGCAUCAGCUGGAGGCCUGGAGGAUGGAGGGCCCCGAGCCCCUGCUUUUUGCCAAGACGGAAAUCGCGGGCUCGGCCACGGGUUCUCAAAUUGUGUUCCCCGGACGACCACCUGCGUCUGCCCCUCCUGCAUCCCCCAGCCUUUUGUCUCAAACCCGCCGGGCUAAGCUCUUCCACUUGGCCGGUUAUCAGAACAUGUGCCCCCAGGCCCAGUGCCCCGUGGGCGGGCUUUCCGGGAGCCUCGGGGCUUGAGGCUUGUUUGCGGUACUUCUAAGUUAAAAAAGAAAUUGCGGAUGUUAGAAUUUCAUUCACAUCAACUUUCCAUGGGGAGAAGACUGAUGGAAGAGGGAGACGGGUGUGUUGGGGGGUUCUCUGCCCCCACAUUUCUGUAUUCUCACAUUUUCGACCACAAACACGUAUUUAUAAUAGACAAAAA